rnacentral:lncRNA from 1 species
CUACUUCAUAAUAGUCAACUCCAGGAAGAGGAUCUGAGCAUUAGAAGACUAAAACUUGUCUGUGGUGAUAUUAUUGGAGCUUUGUGGCAAACCAAGCCUGAAUCCUGAAAUCUCUGGACUUUGCAGUUAUGUGAAAUAAGAUAUUUCCUUAAUUUUCAAUCAAGGUGAUCCAAAAACCUACCAACCCCGAAUAUUGCCAAGGACAAGAAAACAAGCUCCACUUGGUCCAAAACACAAAGCAAGUAACUCUUAAGAGGUAUUGCAAGAAUGGACUGCUUUAUGGAAGAUAGAACAAGCCUCAUUCUUAAAAUCAUAGAGAAGACUCUUUGGAGAAAUACUGCUUGACUGACUCCCUUCUGAACUCCGAAUGAAAAGGCCAAUGAUUGAUUAGGCAGAACUUUCAUGAGAUUAUCUGAUCAUCUGCACAUGCAUUACAGUGCAUCACUAUAAGGCUUGCAUUGCAGAUUAGAAGUGGGAUUUUGGAACAAGGCAGGAAUAGGCUCUGAAGGGAAGGCUAAUUUGCAUGAGCAAUUGGAUCACCCUUCAGAAUGUCAAAUGUUUAUCCCUGCAUGUCUCUCGGUCCACACCUAUAAAGCAAGAAGGUCAUUGUGGCUUGAAGGGAGUAAAGCAAGAGAAGGAGGGGGAGACUUUUUAGCUGAGUCCACUGUGUCCAGUAUUUGUUCUGGCCAAGGCCUAUUAGAUGUGAUAAAUUCUCUGGAUUCAGUUAGUUUAUGAAACAGAUCAAACGUACAUUUGUUUUCAGAUAAUUUGAAAACAAAAGUCAAACAAAGAGCUGUAAUUGUUCAACUCCUUAGCUAAUCUCUGGGCCUUCAAACCUACAUUAACGAUGAGAAGCCUGCUUAAUUAGUACCAUCUCCCAAAUGAGACAUCCUUUCCAAUUCUCCUCUCUAUGGCCGUGAAGGACAGUGGACCAGGGAAGUCUUCCUGAGAGCAGACCUGGGGCAGGCUGACUGGCUAAACAAAUGAAUUAUUCCACUACCAAGUGAGGACGAUCUUUUUAAAUAAAUGUUGAUUUGUAGGGAAUGCUCUGCCACUUGUAUGACAUGACCAUCUUUCCUUUCUCUUUUUUUCACAAUUGUACCAUUGUAUUGUAAUGGUUUUAAUGGGGUUGAU